UUUUGUUUAUUCAUUUUUGUUUUCGUUAAGUUUUUCGGAUCCGAUCAGAUCGUCUCGGAAUCGGAGCUAUAGCAACCUGAUCGCCUCGUGUUAGCUGGCCAAAUGUGUAUAAUUUCUGGUUUAGCAGCAGUGACUAAGAAUACACUAAAAUUGGUCAAGCGCGUGGAACGGAACUGGUUUGCCACGGAGCUGACUGAGCAGGUUGUCAAAUGUUCCCGCUAGAUGGCGUCUCCGAAAUGCGUCACAGCGCUCAACAGUGGCGGAACUGUGCGGCGAGCGUUCAACAGUUGAAUUCUUAAAUAAAUGGCUUCGAGUUUAUUUUUGCGAGCCAAGUGUAUAUAAAAAAUAAAAGAAAGAAGAAAUUGGAUGAUAAAAAUGUGACAAUAAUAAUAAUAUAGCUUAGAUUGGAUGGCACGCAUCAACACAC